rnacentral:rRNA from 1 species
AUGGCUCUGCACUACAUCCCCAUGUUCUUCCUCCUAUUCGUGAGUUCGUUCUGCAAAUCCGAUGACCAGCUCACACAAGCAAAGCCACUCGCCCAUGGCGACAUGCUCAUUUCCGAGAGAGGGGACUUUUCUCUUGGCUUCUUGUCCCCGACAAGCUCCAACAAGAGUUUUUACCUUGGUAUAUGGUAUCACAGCCUCCCCGGGCCACGGACCGUCGUGUGGGUCGUCAACCGAGACAAUCCAAUCACCAACCCUUCGUCGGUGAUGCUCAUGGUAACUAAGAAUUCUCGCAUGGUAUUAUCUAACACUGAAGGCCGUAAUAUUUGA